rnacentral:rRNA from 1 species
AGAGUUUGAUCCUGGCUCAGGAUGAACGCUGGCGGCGUGCCUAACACAUGCAAGUCGAACGGAUCCAUAUUGAAACCUAGUGAUGUAUGGAUUAGUGGCGGACGGGUGAGUAACGCGUGGAUAACCUGCCGUAUACAGGGGGAUAACACUUAGAAAUAGGUGCUAAUACCGCAUAAGCGCACGGUUCCGCAUGGAACAGUGUGAAAAACUCCGGUGGUAUACGAUGGAUCCGCGUCUGAUUAGCCAGUUGGCGGGGUAACGGCCCACCAAAGCGACGAUCAGUAGCCGGCCUGAGAGGGUGAACGGCCACAUUGGGACUGAGACACGGCCCAAACUCCUACGGGAGGCAGCAGUGGGGAAUAUUGCACAAUGGGGGAAACCCUGAUGCAGCGACGCCGCGUGAGUGAAGAAGUAUUUCGGUACGUAAAGCUCUAUCAGCAGGGAAGAAAACCGGCCUUAGGGCCGCCAGACGGUACCUGACUAAGAAGCCCCGGCUAACUACGUG